GAGAUGGAUUGGUGCCUUCGGGAACUCUGACACAGGUGCUGCAUGGCUGUCGUCAGCUCGUGUCGUGAGAUGUUGGGUUAAGUCCCGUAACGAGCGCAACCCUUGUCCUUAGUUACCAGCACGUUAUGGUGGCACUCUAAGGAGACUGCCGGUGACAAACCGGAGGAAGGUGGGGAGUGACGUCAAGUCAUCAUGGCCCUUACGGCCUGGGCUACACACGUGCUACAAUGGUCGGUACAAAGGGUUGCCAAGCCGCGAGGUGGAGCUAAUCCCAUAAAACCGAUCGUAGUCCGGAUCGCAGUCUGCAACUCGACUGCGUGAAGUCGGAAUCGCUAGUAAUCGUGAAUCAGAAUGUCACGGUGAAUACGUUCCCGGGCCUU
rnacentral:rRNA from 1 species